GGUCCCACCUGACCCCAUGCCGAACUCAGAAGUGAAACGCCGUAGCGCCGAUGGUAGUGUGGGGUCUCCCCAUGCGAGAGUAGGACACUGCCAGGC
rnacentral:rRNA from 1 species